rnacentral:miRNA from 1 species
GGAGUGGGUGGGAUGGAAAAA